UGGGGAAUUUUGGACAAUGGGCGAAAGCCUGAUCCAGCAAUGCCGCGUGUGUGAAGAAGGCCUUCGGGUUGUAAAGCACUUUUGUCCGGAAAGAAAUCCUUGGCUCUAAUACAGUCGGGGGAUGACGGUACCGGAAGAAUAAGCACCGGCUAACUACGUGCCAGCAGCCGCGGUAAUACGUAGGGUGCAAGCGUUAAUCGGAAUUACUGGGCGUAAAGCGUGCGCAGGCGGUUUGCUAAGACCGAUGUGAAAUCCCCGGGCUCAACCUGGGAACUGCAUUGGUGACUGGCAGGCUAGAGUAUGGCAGAGGGGGGUUAGAAUUCCACGUGUAGCAGUGAAAUGCGUAGAGAUGUGGAGGAAUACCGAUGGCGAAGGCAGCCCCCUGGGCCAAUACUGACGCUCAUGCACGAAAGGCGUGGGGGAGCAAACAGGAUUAGAUACCCUGGUAGUCCACGCCCUAAACGAUGUCAACUAGUUGUUGGGGGACUUCAUUUUCCUUAGUAACGUAGCUAACGCGUG
rnacentral:rRNA from 1 species